UACGGGGGGGGCAAGCGUUGUUCGGAAUUACUGGGCGUAAAGGGCGCGUAGGCGGCCUGCUAAGUCGGAUGUGAAAUCCCUCGGCUCACCGAGGAACUGCAUCCGAUACUGGCGGGCUUGAAUCCGGGAGAGGGAUGUGGAAUUCCAGGUGUAGCGGUGAAAUGCGCAGAUAUCGGGAAGAACACCCGUGGCGAAGGCGGCUCUCUGGGACGGUACUGACGCUGAGACGCGAAAGCGUGGGGAGCAAACAGG
rnacentral:rRNA from 1 species